rnacentral:rRNA from 1 species
UACGGGGGGGGCAAGCGUUGUUCGGAAUUACUGGGCGUAAAGGGCUCGUAGGGGGCCAACUAAGUCAGACGUGAAAUCCCUCGGCUUAACCGGGGAACUGCGUCUGAUACUGGUUGGCUUGAGUUUGGGAGAGGGAUGCGGAAUUCCAGGUGUAGCGGUGAAAUGCGUAGAUAUCUGGAGGAACACCGGUGGCGAAGGCGGCAUCCUGGACCAAUACUGACGCUGAGGAGCGAAAGCCAGGGGAGCAAACGGG